GUGCUCACUUCGGCAGCACAGACGCUAAGACUGGAAUGAUAAAGAGCAGAUUAGUGCGACCUCUGCUCAAGAAUAACAUACAAAUUUCUGAAGUUUCUCGUAGUUUU
rnacentral:snRNA from 1 species